rnacentral:rRNA from 1 species
UGGGGAAUAUUGGACAAUGGGCGCAAGCCUGAUCCAGCCAUGCCGCGUGAGUGACGAAGGUCUUCGGAUUGUAAAGCUCUUUUGGCGGGGACGAUAAUGACGGUACCCGCAGAAUAAGCCCCGGCUAACUUCGUGCCAGCAGCCGCGGUAAUACGAAGGGGGCUAGCGUUGUUCGGAAUUACUGGGCGUAAAGCGCACGUAGGCGGAUUUGUUAGUCAGGGGUGAAAUCCCGGGGCUCAACCUCGGAACUGCCUUUGAUACUGCAAGUCUCGAGUCCGGAAGAGGUGAGUGGAAUUCCUAGUGUAGAGGUGAAAUUCGUAGAUAUUAGGAAGAACACCAGUGGCGAAGGCGGCUCACUGGUCCGGUACUGACGCUGAGGUGCGAAAGCGUGGGGAGCAAACAGGAUUAGAUACCCGGGUAGUCC